rnacentral:rRNA from 1 species
CUGGUUGAUCCUGCCAGUAGUCAUAUGCUUGUCUCAAAGAUUAAGCCAUGCAUGUCUAAGUAUAAACUUUUAUACUGUGAAACUGCGAAUGGCUCAUUAAAUCAGUUAUCGUCUAUUUGAUUGUGCCCUUACUACAUGGAUAACCGUAGUAAUUCUAGAGCUAAUACAUGCGAAAAGUCCCGACUUCUGGAAGGGAUGUAUUUAUUAGAUUAAAAACCAAUGCGUUUCACGACGCUAUUCGGUGAUUCAUAAUAACUGUUCGAAUCGCAUGGCCCUCGUGCCGGCGAUGUUUCAUUCGAGUUUCUGCCCUAUCAACUUUCGAUGGUAAGGUAUUGGCUUACCAUGGUUGCAACGGGUAACGGAGAAUUAGGGUUCGAUUCCGGAGAGGGAGCCCGAGAAACGGCUACCACAUCCAAGGAAGGCAGCAGGCGCGCAAAUUACCCAAUCCCGACCCGGGGAGGUAGUGACAAUAAAUAACGUUGCAGGCGCCAACGGCUUCUGCAGUCGGAAUGAGUACAAUAUAACACCCUUAACGAGGAACAAUUGGAGGGCAAGCCUGGUGCCAGCAGCCGCGGUAAUUCCAGCUCCAAUAGCGUAUAUUAAAGUUGUUGCAGUUAAAAAGCUCGUAGUUGGAUUUCGGAACCGGCCGAUUGGUCCGUCCUUUGGAUCGUGUACUGAUCGGUCUGUUCUUCUUCGCGAAGACCGCGUGUGCCCUUAACUGGGUGGGCGUGGGAUUCGCGACGUUUACUUUGAAAAAAUUAGAGUGUUCAAAGCAGGCCUUCGCUUGAAUAUCUCAGCAUGGAAUAAUAGAAUAGGACUUUGGUCUUAUUUUGUUGGUUUCCGAGACCGAAGUAAUGAUUAAUAGGGACAGUUGGGGGCAUUCGUAUUUCAUUGUCAGAGGUGAAAUUCUUGGAUUUAUGAAAGACGAACUUCUGCGAAAGCAUUUGCCAAGGAUGUUUUCAUUAAUCAAGAACGAAAGUUGGAGGCUCGAAGACGAUCAGAUACCGUCCUAGUUCCAACCAUAAACGAUGCCGUCUGCGGAUCGGAGGUCGCUCAUGUAAGGCUCCUUCGGCACGCUAUGAGAAAUCAAAGACUUCGGGUUCCGGGGGGAGUAUGUUCGCAAGAAUGAAACUUAAAGGAAUUGACGGAAGGGCACCACCAGGAGUGGAACCUGCGGUUUAAUUUGACCCAACACGGGAAAACUCACCAGGUCCAGACAUAGGAAG